AUUGAACGCUGGCGGCAGGCCUAACACAUGCAAGUCGAACGAGUGGCGGACGGGUGAGUAAUGUCUGGGAAACUGCCUGAUGGAGGGGGAUAACUACUGGAAACGGUAGCUAAUACCGCAUACCAUCAGAUGUGCCCAGAUGGGAUUAGCUAGUUGGUGGGGUAACGGCUCACCAAGGCGACGAUCCCUAGCUGGUCUGAGAGGAUGACCAGCCACACUGGAAAUGAUACACGGUUCAGACUCCGACGGGAGGCAGCAGUGGGGAAUAUGGGACAAUGGGUGUAAGCCCGAUGUAGCCAUGCCGCGUGUAUGAAGAAGGCCUUCGGGUUGGAAAGGACUUUUAGCGGGGAGGCGUUACCCGCAGAAGAGGCACCGGCUAACUCCGUGCCAGCAGCCGCGGUAAUAC
rnacentral:rRNA from 1 species